rnacentral:lncRNA from 1 species
UCCGCUCUGCGUCUGUGAGUAUGCGGGAGCGGAAGCCAAUGGGUUGCCUCAUCCCCUCAGCAGUGCCGUGAGAAAGAACGGCUCCAAUGCUGACUGCUGAAGCGUCACAUUCUAGUACCAACGGCUUGCCCGGGUCGUAAUGGGCAAGAAACCCUGCUUUCCUUAUCAAUGCAUUGACGUCU